CGGACGGGUGAGUAACGCGUGGAUAACCUGCCUCAUACAGGGGGAUAACAGUUAGAAAUGACUGCUAAUACCGCAUAAGCGCACAGGACCGCAUGGUCCGGUGUGAAAAACUCCGGUGGUAUGGGAUGGAUCCGCGUCUGAUUAGCUGGUUGGUGAGGUAACGGCCCACCAAGGCGACGAUCAGUAGCCGACCUGAGAGGGUGGCCGGCCACAUUGGGACUGAGACACGGCCCAAACUCCUACGGAAGGCAGCAG
rnacentral:rRNA from 1 species